CCGUAGGGUGAACCUGCGGAAGGAUCAUUACCGAGUGAGGGCCCUCUGGGUCCAACCUCCCACCCGUGUCUAUCGUACCUUGUUGCUUCGGCGGGCCCGCCGUUUCGACGGCCGCCGGGGAGGCCUUGCGCCCCCGGGCCCGCGCCCGCCGAAGACCCCAACAUGAACGCUGUUCUGAAAGUAUGCAGUCUGAGUUGAUUAUCGUAAUCAGUUAAAACUUUCAACAACGGAUCUCUUGGUUCCGGCAUCGAUGAAGAACGCAGCGAAAUGCGAUAAGUAAUGUGAAUUGCAGAAUUCAGUGAAUCAUCGAGUCUUUGAACGCGCAUUGCGCCCCCUGGUAUUCCGGGGGGCAUGCCUGUCCGAGCGUCAUUGCUGCCCUCAAGCACGGCUUGUGUGUUGGGCCCCCGUCCCCCUCUCCCGGGGGACGGGCCCGAAAGGCAGCGGCGGCACCGCGUCCGGUCCUCGAGCGUAUGGGGCUUUGUCACCUGCUCUGUAGGCCCGGCCGGCGCCAGCCGACACCCAACUUUAUUUUUCUAAGGUUGACCUCGGAUCAGGUAGGGAUACCCGCUGAACUUAAGCAUAUCAAUAAGCCGGAGGGAUCAUUACCGAGUGAGGGCCCUCUGGGUCCAACCU
rnacentral:rRNA from 1 species